GUCACGUGGUCCCAUUUACCUGGAAAGGGGACGGUAGUAUAAUCUUACCAUGUGCCUAGAGAGGGUGAUCGGAAAUAUUUGGGAACAGUACUGAACAGAACAGUCACCACAGGGCACAUGCGAGAGUUCUUCAGAAGGUUCAGUCGGGUCUAGUUCUCUGGCAAGAGAGAGCAGAUUCCAGUCUGAAGCCCAUUGUCCCGCCCCUCACAUUAUAGGAAUAGCGUCUUUCUUCUGGAGCCCCAUUCCUGGCAGGCAGCCCUGGCGGACGGCUGACAAGAUGGCUGAAACCCAGCUGCUAUUUGUGAAGGAAACUAUUGUGUUCAAAUGUACAACAUGAAAUUUACCAAUUUAAUUAUUUUAAAGUCUACAAUUUGAUGUAUGAGUACAUCCGCAAUGUUGUGCAACCAUCACCACUAUCUAAUUCUAGAGCAUUUUCAUCAUCCUCAAAGGAAACCCUGUACCCCUUGAACAGUCACUCCCCUUCCCCCCCUCCCUCCAGCCCCAGGCAACCACUAAUCUGCUUUCUGUCUGUGACUUUGCCUAUUCUGGGUAUUUCAUAUAAGGGGGACCUCUGUGUCUUUAAGCUUAGCUACUUUUUGGGGUGUCCUCAUGACUUGUGGGAAGCUCACGAGUGUUGUCAUGCCAAAUGGUGGCAGUGCAGGUGCUCCACAGCUCCCUUCUCCAUCCACCUCUGUCACUCCAAUUGCCAUUUUCCUGGCUCAGAGGGAGGGCAGCACCCUGCUGCCGAGCAGGGAGUGAACAGCCUGCCUCCCCUUCUUUCAAGUUCCUCAGUCUCCAUGGGUGAAUCUCUAUGGGAAGCCCUCCCACACAGGAGGGCUGGGAGGAAGGCGCAUUCCUGCUGCCCAGAGGAAGAAAAGCCACGGUGCCCCCGCCAAAUCUCUCCGAUUCCCGCCCCCUUCCCAGCAGAAAUGCUGAGGUGGGGUGAUUAAUAAUUAAUAUUAACCACAGUUAAUCAAUCCUGGAGGAGGGCGGCAUCUGGCCCCAUAUCUUUUCUGUAUUCUUCAUAAUAUGUGUUAUUUUGCUGCUGUUGUUUUUAGCUAUGGGCCCGACUGCCACGUCUGCUGCAACCAUAAGGUUUGGUAUCUUCUUACACAUCAUUUGGGUAAUGUUCCUCCCCUACUCAACAACUUUCUAUGUCUCUCCAUUAUGAAUGCAAAUUCCAAACUCUUGACUUGGCAUUCAAGGCUCUCUACAAGCUACUUUCAAUGGAGCUUUCUAGCUUCCUUUGUUACCACCCCCAGCAUGAACUCUGUGUUCCUUUCAGGCUGGCCUGCUCCCUCACUGCCCCCAGAAUGGCCCUGCUCAGUUGGGGUUGGCGUCCUUUAUUCUAACAGCCCCCCACGUGGGAUGUGCUUUCUCUCUUCCUCCCUGUGAGGCUCUUUGCCAUUAAGUCCUCUCAGUUUUCCUGGGCCCCCAGUCCUUUCUCCCCUCUGAACUCUGAGGCGUGGUCAGCACCCUCGGGGCAUGUGUCCUGCUGCCUCAUGUGAUGAGUGACCUCCUCACAUGUUUAUGUCUCCCGUGCUGGGGCGGGGUGAGUUGCUGAAUUGCAGCUGCCCCUCCCCUCCCUUCCCCUGCUGUGUCCUCAGAAAGGGCCAGGAGCAGAGCAGGCAGAGGUUCUGUUAGCCAAGGCCACAGAACCCGAAUCUUUUCCUGGCCCCGUGAGUGUGGUGUUAGGAAUGUGAAGGAGGUGACUGGAGGGCUCAGGCAUCUUCCAGGGACACCUGCCCAGGCCAAGCUGGGGUUGGGCGUCUAGAAGAAAUGAUCAUAAUGUUCUCCUUGGGGACUUUUCAGGAUGACCCAGAAGUACAUUCUGUUGUGACCAGCUUUAGGCGCAGGGAUGGGAACAGACGAGGGCAUGGAGUGUGCAAGGAAGGCGAACUGGGGAGGGCAAAUGAGACCAAAACAGAGAGAAAAAGGCAAGUUAGUGUGGGGGAGGGGAAUCGAUUUAGGGACCCCAAACCUUGGAUGAGCAGAGGCAGGCUCUCUCACGUGUUGCUGAAGGAAGGAAACCCUGCCGAAUGGCUCCCACUAUUUUUACAUUGUCCCCCAACUCCCACACCAGGAUUUCCCCUUCCCCCACCAGUUAUCCUCAAGUGGCCGGCCUUAAUAGGUCAAAAGCAGCCCCGCCCGCCCUGCCUGGAGUGUAUCCCUCCUAGGCAAUCCCCUCUCCGUGCUGUGCCUGGCUUUGUUUUUGUGUUUUUGAUUUGGUUUGUUCCAGCAGGAGGGGCUGACUUGUGCCUUGGAGGAAUUAUUCUGAGCCUUGGAGAGAUGCCCAGAGGGACAGAGCUGUGGCCACAUCCCAGUGCAGCCUGACCUUUCUCAGGGUGGCCUAGAGCUGCCCGAGGCCAGAAGUUUCCCUUGGCCGCAGGCACGUGGAAGUGGCACGCCCAGGGCCAGCUGCCCCAGACUCUGCAGGGGUUGGGGGGGGUGUUUUCCCUUUGAGGGUCCCCAACCAGGCCUCCCCACAUCAGGCCAAGCCAGCAGCAUGCCAUUUUAACUCACUGACUUCUGCAAAUCCCUUGCUUCCCUAAACGUAAAGGCAGAGGCUCUGGGCACAAGGCAUUAUCAAGCAAGUUCUAAUAGUCACGCUUCUGAGGGGCCUGUGACUUGGCAUUCAGCGAUGGCGGCCCGAGGACCUGUCUCAGUGUUAUCUCUGCACACAUUCCCCUUCAUGAAGACCUCUCACCCCGACUGCUGCAGCGGCUGCUCCCCGCCUCUCCCCACUCCCCGCCUCACCCCGCUCCCCCCCAAUCCAUGCCAGCUGUGGCUGCUGGGUUCAUUUUAUUAUGGGCCUUCUCUUAUCUUGGCAGUCCUCCACUCACAAACCAUCAGUGAGUCCCACUGCCCAGGAAAUAAAUAACUAGUUUGUGCGCUUACUCCAGAGGGUACAAACCACAUAAGCUCUGCCACCCUUCCCUGAGGCCAGGGCUGGGAGCUGGGGAGAAGGGAGGAGCAAGAUGCUGGGGUACUAUCACCUGUCCUCAUUCCAUUCCCAGUUCCCGGGGGUGCCACUUACAAUGUUGGCCCUGGGAUGAUCCUGCCUCAGGUCAAACAGCCUUUAUGGUUGGGGUUCCCUCUGUUCAUAGGCUUUCCUCAAGUCCUCUCUCUACAGUUAUAUGAUUUAGGAAAGGGAGGUUCUAGGUCAGUGGUUCUCAACCUUCCUAAUGCCGCGACCCUUUAAUACAGUUCUUCUUGUUGUGGUGACCCCCAAUUUCAUUGUUACCAAUUGAACAUAAUUAAAGCAUAGUGAUUAAUCAGGAAAACAAUAUGUAAUUAUAUAUGUUUUCCGAUGGUCUUAGGCGACCCCUGUGAAAGGGUCGUUCGACCCCCAAAGGGGUCGCGACCCACAGGUUGAGAACUGCUGUUCUAGGUGAAUCUCCAAGUUUGCCCCUAACGAUAAGCCGGUGAUGGCUAGGGCUCGGCCCACGUGAUCUCUCAUCUUCUCCCUUACCCACCGCAGGUGGGACCAAUCUACUUCUGCUCAACAGGCCCAGCUGCGGCCUCAACAAACAUUUUCAACACGCCUGCAGGAAGCCGCUGUGGUUCCUUGAGUUUGGCAAGUGAGAAGAAACCGGUUUCCCCUACUCUCAGCUCUUCCAGGGACAUGCAGCUUACUGCAAGGGCCUCCUGUAUCCGGAAUAUUGGGUGUGGAUCUGGUCAGUGAACUUCAAGAGGGACCUACUGUUUCAGAGAAGACUCGGGAUGGCCAGUCCUGAGAGAAGCAGGAAGCUGGCGGGGACACCAGAUAGGAAGGGAGAGAAAAUCAUUGGCUGGGUGCCUCUUGCACACCCCACACUAGGGAUCAAGCCUGCAACCUGGGCAAGUGCCCUGACUGGGAAUCGAACCCUGACUUUCUGGUUCAUAGGUCGACGCUCAACCACUGACCCAUGUUGGCCGGGCUGCAUAAACAUCUUAAUCUGAUCUCAUCAACUCUGAGAGCUGGAGCAGGUGUUAUUAAUGACUAUUCUCAUUUCACUGCUGCUGAGUAAACCUAGACUCAAUUAUUGUAGGCGAUUUAUUUUCUCUUUCUAAUGUUACUGGCCCAGAAUGGCCCAAGGACCAGUAGAAGAGCUGAGAGGUAGAGCUGCGUCUUUUACCUCCCAGUGGCAUCUGGGACCCCAGCAGGGCUGGUGGCCUGUGGCACAUGCAAAUGACCCAUCUCCGCCUUCUCCUCCCUCCCCCACAUUCACACUCGGGGGUCCAAGAGGCGGCAGUCGCAGCCCUCCUAAGCUCGCUUUUCCCACA